ACAUAAACAAGUCAGUUAGAGACGAAAAAUAAUUUAAAAUAAGAUGUUAUACAUUUAUGAUAACUUCACUGCAUAUUAAAUUAGAUUCAAUAAGCUAAAAUAAUUAUUUGGUUUGUAGACAAAAGCCCCUGGUUUGCGGUUAAGAUUCAAUCUAAAUCAGAAGACGGAACAUGUGUAUAUAUGUUUGCAUAUGCCAAACACAAGUUGCAGAAGUUGUUUAUAAGUGCUUUUAACUGCCUGCGGUGUAACACACUCAAUUUAAAAUUCAAAACACAACGACACAAACACAUACGCCCACGAAUGCACGCACACGUACACACGUAUGCACACACGCCAACUCCGAGCAGACGACAUGCAUCCACACAAAGAACUUUUCUGCUACAGAUGUAAGCCGUGUCUUGGCUUGCUUUCUUGGCUAUAACUUUUGGAAGUUCACUAACACAAAUUGGAAUCUUUUGGAAUGAAGUGCCGCAAUCGACGCUGCUGGCCAAAUCACAUCCACACGUUGCCGAACUCCAUUUGACAGGCGAAUGAAAGAACCCUUAUGAGUUUGUUCAAGGACUAACAAUGAAACCUCCACAUUGCAUUCUAGGCAGAUCUUUCUGUAUUCUGUCAUUUAGCUCUUACAAUAAACGCAUUUUUCAUGUAUCUCUCAGAUACAAUGCAUUA